rnacentral:rRNA from 1 species
AUUGAACACUGGCGGCAGGCCUAACACAUGCAAGUCGAGCGAGCGGCGGACGGGUGAGUAAUGUAUGGGGACUGCCCGAUAGAGGGGGAUAACUACUGGAAACGGUAGCUAAUACCGCAUACUAUCGGAUAACCCAUAUGGGAUUAGCUGGUAGGUGGGGUAAUGGCUCACCUAGGCGACGAUACCUAGCUGGUGUGAGAGGAUGAUCAGCCACAUGGGGACGGGGAAACGGCCCAGACUCCGCCGGAGGCAGAAGUGGGGAAUAUUGCAAAAUGGGGGCAAGCCUGAUGCAGCCAUGCCGCGGGUAGGAAGAAGGCCCUAGGGUGGUAAAGUACGUUCAGUCGGGAGGCGUUACCGACAGAAGAAGCACCGGCUAACUCCGUGCCAGCAGCCGCGGUAAUAC